rnacentral:sRNA from 1 species
UAACCUCAGUCCUCCUGCCCGGAGGGCAUGUGUUUGCUGGAGAUAGUGGAGUCAGUGGCAAGAAAGUGCCAGAGGGAGGUGCGCGGGCGGGAAAGCAUUUGACGGUCUCCUGGGUUGCCACCCAUGGCCAGCUGGGGCAUCUUCUCACCUGCCCCAGCAAAGCUUCCUGGGAAUCCCUGUCUGCUCUCAGCUGUGGCUGUUUUCAGAGGGGCUUCAUCCUUCCAAGGCCUGUGUGGAGCAGAAGCCUCCAUGGACUGGGUGCCCGGAGACUCAGCAUGCAGGCCCUGCCCUGCCAGUCUCCUCCCGAUCUUGGGGAACUUGCUGCUCUGUGGAGGUCUCAGUCUUCUUGUCUGAUAGAUGGGGACAAUAACCUUCCCUCUGGAAUUAGGUCAGGAGUGCUGUGGCUGGGGGAGGCAGAACCCGCCCACCCCAGGCAUCGGCACAUAGUAGAUGUUGAGUGAAGUAUAGUUCCUGUCCCUCCUUCCUUGUUCCAGGUCACCAUGGGGACAGCCGCCCUGGGUCCCCUCUGGGCAGCGCUCCUGCUCUUUCUCCUGAUGUGUGAGAUCCCUAUGGUGGAGCUCACCUUUGACAGAGCUGUGGCCAGCGGCUGCCAACGGUGCUGUGACUCUGAGGACCCCCUGGAUCCUGCCCAUGUGUCCUCAGCCUCUUCCUCUGGCCGCCCCCACGCCCUGCCUGAGAUCAGACCCUACAUUAACAUCACCAUCCUGAAGGGUGACAAAGGGGACCCAGGCCCAAUGGGCCUGCCAGGGUACAUGGGCAGGGAGGGUCCCCAAGGGGAGCCUGGCCCUCAGGGCAGCAAGGGUGACAAGGGGGAGAUGGGCAGCCCCGGCGCCCCGUGCCAGAAGCGCUUCUUCGCCUUCUCAGUGGGCCGCAAGACGGCCCUGCACAGCGGUGAGGACUUCCAGACACUGCUCUUCGAAAGGGUCUUUGUGAACCUUGAUGGGUGCUUUGACAUGGCGACCGGCCAGUUUGCUGCUCCCCUGCGUGGCAUCUACUUCUUCAGCCUCAAUGUGCACAGCUGGAAUUACAAGGAGACGUACGUGCACAUUAUGCAUAACCAGAAAGAGGCCGUCAUCCUGUACGCGCAGCCCAGCGAGCGCAGCAUCAUGCAGAGCCAGAGUGUGAUGCUGGACCUGGCCUACGGGGACCGCGUCUGGGUGCGGCUCUUCAAGCGCCAGCGCGAGAACGCCAUCUACAGCAACGACUUCGACACCUACAUCACCUUCAGUGGCCACCUCAUCAAGGCCGAGGACGACUGAGGGCCUCUGGGCCACCCUCCCGGCUGGAGAGCUCAGGUGCUGGUCCCGUCCCCUGCAGGGCUCAGUUUGCACUGCUGUGAAGCAGGAAGGCCAGGGAGGUCCCCGGGGACCUGGCAUUCUGGGGAGACCCUGCUUCUUUCUUGGCUGCCAUCGUCCCUCCCAGCCUAUUUCUGCUCCUCUCUUCUCUCUUGGACCUAUUUUAAGAAGCUUUCUAGCCUAAAUAUUCUAGAACUUUCCCAGCCUCGUAGCCCAGCACUUCUCAAACUUGGAAAUGCAGGCGAAUCACCCGGGGUUCGCGUUAAAUGCAGGUUCUGACUCAGUAGGUCUGAGUGGGUCCAGGAUUCUGUGUUUCUGACAUGUUCCUGGGUGAUGCUGAUGGGGUCAGUCUAUGAACCACACUGGAGCAACCAGGUUCUAGGACUUUCUCAAUAUUCUAGUACUUUCUGAACAUUCUGGAAUCCUCCCCACAUUCUAGAAUUCUCCCAACAUUUUUUUUUUUGAGACAGAGUCUUGCUCUGUUGCGCAGGCUAGAGUGCAGUGGUGCAAUCUCAGUUCACUGCAACCUCUGCCUCCCGGGUUCAAGCGAUUCUUCUGCCUCAGCCUCCCUAGUGGCUGGGAUUACAGGCGCCUGCUACCAUGCCUGGCUAAUUUUUGUAUUUUUAGUAGAGAUGGGGUUUCACCAUAUUGGCCAGGCUGGUCUUGAACUCCUGACUUCAGGUGAUCCACCCGCCUCGGCCUCUCAAAAUGCUGAGAUUACAGGUGUGGGCCACCGUGCCUGGUCAAUUCCAACAUUCUUAAAUUCUCUCAUCCCUCCAGGGCUCCCCGUGCUAUGUUCUCUUUACCCCUUCCCCCUCUUCUCUUGCUCAGGCCUGCGCCACUGCAGCCACCGUUCAUUUAUUCAUUCAUUAAACACUGAGCACUCACUCUGUGCUGGGUCCCGGGAAGGGUGAGGGGGUCAGACACAGGCCCUGCCCCUGCCCUCAGUGACUGGCCAGUCCAGCCCAGGCAGGGAGAGACGUGUACAUAGGUUUUAAAGCAGACCCAGAGCUCAUGGGGGCCUGUGUUCUGGGUGUUCAGGUGCUGCUGGUCCUCCAUUACCCACUGCUCCCCAAGGCUGGUGGGACGGGGUCCCGGUGGCAGGGGCAGGUAUCUCCUUCCCGUUCCUCAUCCACCUGCCCAGUGCUCAUCGUUAAAGCGAACCCCAGGGGGCCUUGGCCAGGUCAAGGUUUCUGUGAGGAGAGGACCCAGGAGUGUGGGGGCAUUUGGGGGGUGAAGGGGCCCCCGAAGAAUGGAACCCACACCCAUAGCUCUCCCCACAGCUGAUACGGCAUCCUGCGAGAAGACCUGCCCUCCUCACUGGGAUCCCCUUCCUGCCUCCUCCCAGGGCUCUGCCAGGGCCUUGCUCAGUCCCUUCCACCAAAGUCAUCUGAACUUCCGUUUCCCCAGGGCCUCCAGCUGCCCUCAGACACUGAUGUCUGUCCCCAGGUGCUCUCUGCCCCUCAUGCCCCUCUCACCGGCCCAGUGCCCCGACUCUCCAGGCUUUAUCAAGGUGCUAAGGCCCGGGUGGGCAGCUGCUCGUCUCAGAGCCCUCCUCCGGCCUGGUGCUGCCUUUACAAACACCUGCAGGAGAAGGGCCACGGAAGCCCCAGGCUUUAGAGCCCUCAGCAGGUCUGGGGAGCUAAAGCAAAGGAGGGACCUCAGGCCUUCCGUUUCUUCUUCCAGGGUGGGGUGGCCUGGUGUCCCCCUAGCCUUCCAAACCCAGGUGGCCUGCCCUUCUCCCCAGAGGGAGGCGGCCUCCGCCCAUUGGUGCUCAUGCAGACUCUGGGGCUGAGGUGCCCCGGGGGGUGAUCUCUGGUGCUCACAGCCGAGGGAGCCGUGGCUCCAUGGCCAGAUGACGGAAACAGGGUCUGACCAAGUGCCAGGAAGACCUGUGCUAUAAACCACCCUGCCUGAUCCUGCCCCUGCCUGACCCCGCCACGCCCUGCCGUCCAGCAUGAUUAAAGAAUGCUGUCUCCUC